rnacentral:rRNA from 1 species
GGCGCACGGGUGAGUAACGCGUGGAUAAUCUACCCGACGGACGGGAUAACAUUUCGAAAGGGGUGCUAAUACCGGAUAAGACCACGGCUUCUUAGGGGGCUGCGGUAAAAGGUGGGGACCUUCGGGCCUACCGUCAUCGGAUGAGUCCGCGUACCAUUAGCUAGUUGGUAGGGUAAGGGCCUACCAAGGCGACGAUGGUUAGCUGGUCUGAGAGGAUGAUCAGGCACACUGGAACUGAGACACGGUCCAGACUCCUACGGGAGGCAGCAGUGGGGAAUUUUGCGCCAUGGGGGAAAACCUGACGCAGCAACGCCGCGUGAGUGAUGAAGGCCUUCGGGUCGUAAAGCUCUGUCAGAGGGGAAGAAAU